rnacentral:rRNA from 1 species
GUGGGGAAUCUUAGACAAUGGGCGCAAGCCUGAUCUAGCCAUGCCGCGUGAGCGAUGAAGGCCUUAGGGUUGUAAAGCUCUUUCGUGGGGGAAGAUAAUGACUGUACCCCAAGAAGAAGCCCCGGCUAACUCCGUGCCAGCAGCCGCGGUAAUACGGAGGGGGCUAGCGUUGUUCGGAAUUACUGGGCGUAAAGCGCACGUAGGCGGACUGGAAAGUCAGGGGUGAAAUCCCGGGGCUCAACCCCGGAACUGCCUUUGAAACUCCCAGUCUUGAGGUCGAGAGAGGUGGGUGGAAUUCCGAGUGUAGAGGUGAAAUUCGUAGAUAUUCGGAGGAACACCAGUGGCGAAGGCGGCUUACUGGUCCAUUACUGACGCUGAGGUGCGAAAGCGUGGGGAGCAAACAGGAUUAGAAACCCUGGUAGUCC